ACUGAGCAUGGUGGUUCAUGCUUGUAAUUCCAGCUUCGGAGGCUGAGGCAGGAGGAUCAUGAGUUCAAAGCCAGCCUCAGCAAUUUAGUAAGGCUCUGAGCAACUCAGUGAGACCCUAUCUCUA
rnacentral:sRNA from 1 species